rnacentral:tRNA from 1 species
AAAAACUUAGUUAAAAUAUAACAUUAGCUUGUCAAGCCAAAAUUACUAAUCUAAGUAGUUUUUA